rnacentral:tRNA from 1 species
UGCAGCUCAGUGGUAGAGCAUGCUUGCCUAGUAUGUGCAAGGCUCUGAGUUCAAUCCCCAGCACUGCAA